UACAGAGGAGACAAGCGUUGUCCGGAUUGACUGGGCGUAAAGCGCACGCAGGCGGUCGGGCGCGUGGGGUGUGAAAUCUGGCCGCUUAACGGCCAGGCGCCAUCCCAUACGGCUCGACUGGAGUGAUGCAGAGGUCGGUGGAAUUGCCGGUGUAGUGGUGAAAUGCGUAGAGAUCGGCAGGAACCCCCAGGGGGAAACCAGCCGACUGGGCAUUGACUGACGCUGAGGUGCGAGAGCGUGGGGAGCGAACCGG
rnacentral:rRNA from 1 species